UCAAAUUUUCUUCUUUUGAUCAUAGGCUAGGGUUAGGGUUACGAGAGAAACAAAUCAAAUUCUCAUAUUUAUAUUUUCUUCAAUCCUCGUCGUCUCGUUAGUUUCUAAUUCUAGUUUCUUCCAAUGGAUCCGUCUCAGUUCUCAUUCGCACAAAUCACCAAAAAAAAAUCAAAGAAGGUUUACCAUAAAGUUUUGACACUGUUGCAAAAUUAUAUAAAGUUUUUCGGAGGUUUUGAGUGGUUCGUAUGAUCAUAUCACUUUGGUGUGAGAUUAAUUGUUUCCGGUGAGGCAGAAUUGUGAAAUAUAAUUUGAAUUGUAAUUUGUGUUGUUUUCUUUGAUUGUGAAAUAUAAUUUUUGAAGGGUUUAAUCAUCUUUCACGGUGAAGGAAAAGGUCUUUCUCAUGGAAGACAAGAUUAUGUUAUGAGAUGAGUUUCGUUUCGUUUCUCUCUGCAUCCCUUUUGAUCCAGUCACUCUCAUAGCAAAAGUUGGAAUCGUUCUUGAUUUAACUACUUGCUCUGGGUUUUGGUAAGAACACACAGCUAACAGUAAGUGAUUCUUUUUGUUGAGCUCCAUAUAUACCACUCAUUAUAAGAUUUUAUCUCAGAAUUCUGAUUUUUGUAUUAUUUCUUUCUUGUUUUGUAUUGUGCAUCUUUGUUAUUCUGUUGGUUUACAAGAGGUAUCUUACUCAUCUUUGGUUUGUGCUUUUGUGCUUGGUACUGAGGGUUUUUCCAUUAUGUUGGUUUACAAGAAGGAAUAUUACGAUAGAGAGAGGUAAGAAAUGGAGUCAACAAUUGGCAAUCCUCGUCUACUUUAGUGUAAAUAUAAUGGUACACAAAUGGAGUUCCUAUAUAAUGGUAGACAACUUGUGUUUUCUAAGCUCAGUUUGCUUCUAAUUCCUUAUCCGAUUCUGUUUUGUCUUUUGUUUGUUACUGAGGACUUUGUUCUUCGACUGGUCUACAAGAGGAAAAUUUGCUAUAAAAACCUUAAAAGUGUCGGUAUUGAAGGUUUGGUUCACUUGGAAGAUGCUUCUCUGAGGACAAUGUUAUAUUCAAGAGAUGUGAUGCUUGUUACAAUUCUCUCAAUUGGUUUUGAAUGGUUAGAGGAGACUAAAAGGUAACUGGUGUCAUGAUAUGUCAUUAGAAUCCGAUGCUUCUUUGAGGUAUGUCUAUAGAUUUAUAGUUAAAAUCAGUCAUGACUGAGGUUUUGUUAAUUGGUCUUAUUGCUAUGUUUUUGCUUUGCAUGGACCCCAGGUAUAGAAUACUAGAAUAAUUUAAGUUUUAAGAUUAAAUUGCCUCUCCAAAACCUAAUGGCUAUCAGAGAGCCUUCAUACUACUGUGUUUCGACAUCAUCAUUCCGAUUUUAUGUUUUCUUUGUCAUUCUUGUUAGGUACUGAGCAUUCUUUGUUAUUCCAUUGGUUUACAAGAGGGUACUUUACUAUAAACAUACUGAGAGAUUUGUUCUGCGGUUGCUUUACAAGAGGGAACAUUACAAUAAGAAAGGAAGAAGUAAUGCUUUGGUGUUUGAAUUCAGAGUGCAGGCUUAGAGUGGUUAGAAUUCGAUUCUUCUGUUAGAAUGUAGUUCAAGAAUUGAUUGAAGAACUUGCAUCUCCAAAUAAUACGAGCAGAAAGAUGGUCAUGAACCGUGCUAAGCCUCUGUAUACCACUGCUACAAAGAGAAGCCAAGAACCGGAGCAAGAAAACCAAUUUUUAGGAAGCCCAAUUCCAAUCAAAGAGAGACCUUAUAUAGUAUACGUUGUAAGUUUGUGUUGUCUCAUAUAUGUUGUGUACAUCUCAUACACUGUUAUGCUUAUCUCAGGUCUAUCGCAAUGGAGCACUAAAAAUGGUCAUGCGUCAUCUUUUGGUUUCUUUAAGUUAAGUCCAUCUCCCAGCCAUUCAAGUUCAAAGUCAAGAUCUGGUUAGACCAAUGAAAAUUCUUUUAAAAUAAAAAAAUUUCACACGAAGUAAUCUCUUGUUUGUUUAUUUAGCUGCAGAAGUGAGAAUAUUUACUUAUAAUUUGUUGUUUUCGUUCAUGUGUGCAUACAUACAUGCAUUCAUGUAUACAUUCUUGAAUCUCUCUCCAUUAUACAUACUUGCAUUCAUGUGUACAAUCCAUACAUGCAUACAUUAUACAUUCAUGUGUGCAUAUAUUCAUACAUUCAUGCGUAUUUGCUUUCUUGAUUUAUUGCUUCGGUCAUUGGUUGCUUUUUUAGUUACUAUGUUAACUUGUUUUUGCUUUGUCUUUUACUCUUUUCCUUGUUUCAUUUUUUAACUUGCUUGUAUCUUUUACUGAUUGCUUACCUGUUUUGUGUUACUUUAUUCCAUGUUUUAUUUUAUGAUCAUUGCUGCUUAACUUGUUUGCUUCUUGGUUCUUUGAUUUACUUCAUUGUACAGCCUUCUUUGUUUCAUUGCUUGCUUCUUUAGUUACAUUGUUUCAUUGCUUGCUUCUUUAGUUACAUUGUUAGCUUGUUCUAAUGUUCUUGUUUGUUUCUUUGGCUUAGUUCAUUUCUUCUUAGCUUUCUUGCUUUUUUCUUUACUGAUUGCUUACAUGUUUUUAAUAAUGUCAAAAACUAUUGCAUGUUUGUUUCCUUGAUUAUAUGAUCGUUGCCUGCCCAAUUGGUUAACUUCCGUCAUUGUUUUUUUUUUCUACAUAAAAUAAACUUUUCUGCCUGUUUUAUUGUUUGCUUACAGUUUUAAUUUGUUUACUCGCUUACUUCUUUUGCUUUAUAAACUUCAUUCAUUGCUACGUAUGUUUUGUAUAUACAUAUGUUUUGCUUCUUGGUUCUUUGAUUUACUUCAUUGCAUAUAAUGUUUACUUUUUUAGUGUAAUUUUUUACGUUGUCUGUUUCUCGUGCAUUAAGUUGAAAUUCUCUGUUGUUGGCUUGGCUACCUUUAUUUUUCUGUCUCAGCGUCUCUUUUUUUUGUUUGGUAUCCGAUAUUGAGUGUUUUGCUUACUUGAAGAAGUAUUGAGGGUUUGGUUCACCUGGAAGAAUCAAUGUUUUGGUGUUUGAAUUCAGAGUGCAGGCUUUGGAGUAGUUAGAAUUUGAUUCUUCUUCUUCCAUUAGGUUAUGAGAGGACACUCAAGCUUUUAAAGAUAAGAAAUAGAGUCAACAGUUGGCGUACACAUCUUUUGAUUUUCUAAACUCAGUUUGCUUCUUCCUUAUCCAUUUCGUAGUCAAAAUUUCUUAAACAGGCCGCAGCAGAGGUUAGAACUGAAUACGCAGGACUUCUUUCAUGGGGUUUUUGUUAAAGUAUGCAGGGUUUUGUUCUUCGGUUGGUUAACAAGUUUACCAUAAACAUCUACAAGAGGGAACUUUGCUAUAAACACUUAGAAAGGAUGGUAUUGAAGGUUUGGUUCACUUGGAAAAUUAACGAAUUGGUGUUUGAAUUAAAAGUGCAGGUCUUGAGUGGUUAAAAUUUGAUGUUUCUCUGAGGAAACCAAUCUUGUGAGAUUUUACUCGAGCAUUUGGCUUUUGAAGUACAAUGUUAUAUUCAAGAGAUGUGAUGCACUCUGAACAAAUUGUCUACAUAUGUCAUGCACUCUGAAUAUUAUAUAUGCGUAACAGUAUAACUAGCUGUCUUUUUGUCUUUGUUCGGUAUCGGUAUUGAGGGUUUGGUUCGCUUGGAAGAAGUAAUGUUUUGGUGUUUGAAUUCAGAGUGCAGGCUUUGAGUGUUCAAGAAUUGAUUGAAGAACUUGCAUCUCCGAAUAAUACGAGCAGAACGAUGGCCAUGAACUAUGCUAAGCCUCUGUAUACCACUUCUACAAAGAGAAGCCAAGAACCGGAGCAAGAAAACCAAUUUGUAGGAAGCCUAAUUCAAAUCAAAUAGAGACCUUAUAUAGUAUACGUUGUCUAUCGCAAUGGAGCUCUAAGAUGGUCAUGCGUCAUCUUCUGGUUUCCUAAGGAAGAGCCAAUACCAAUCUGCCAAAGGAGAAAGGAGAUACAACAAUACACAUCUUCCACACCCAGCUUGGAGAGUGUAUGAUAUUGGUUGAUGUAUUGAAUCUCCGUCCAUUCAUGUGUGCAUACAUACAUGCAUUCAUGUAUACAUUCUCGAAUCUCUCUCCAUUCAUGUGUGCAAACAUACUUGCAUUCAUGUGUAUUCAUACAUUAUACAUUCAUGUGUGCAUAUAUUCAUACAUUCAUACAUUCAUGCGUAUUAUUGCUUUUUUGAUUUGUUGGAUAGGUCAUUGCUUGCUCCUUUAGUUACAUGUUAACUUUCUUUUUGUUUGUCUCUUUACUCUUUUGCUUGUUUCAUUUCUUAACUUGCUUGUUUCUUUUUCUGAUUGCUUACAUGUUUUUGUGUUACUUUAUUCCAUUUUUUUCUUAUAUGAUCGCUGCUGCUUAACUUGUUUGCUUCUUGGUUCUUUGAUUUACUUCAUUGUACAGCCUUCUUUGUUUCAUUGCUUGCUUCUUUAGUUUCGUUGUUAGCUUGUUCUAAUGUUCUUGUUUGUUUCUUUGGCUUAGUUCAUUUCUUAGCUUUCUUGCUUUUUUCUUUACUGAUUGCUUACAUGUUUUUAAUAUUGUCAAAAACUAUUGCAUGUUUGUUUCUUAGAUUAUAUGAUCGUUGCCUACCCAAUUGGUUAACUUGCUUCCUUAUUGGUUCUUUGAUUUUACUUUAUUGAAGAGCCUUAUUUGUUUCUUACUUAGUUUAUUCUUUGAUACUCUGCUUACUUACUUUUACUUCCGUCAUAGUUUUUUUUUUCUACAUAAAAUAAACUUCUCUGCUUGUUUUAUUGUUUGCUUACAGUUUUAAUUUGUUUACUCGCUUACUUCUUUUGCUUUCUAAACUUCAUUCAUUGCUAUGUAUGUUUUGUAUACACAUUGCUUCAUUCAUGGAAACAAAUCAAAUAAUUAGUUUUUGUUUUCUUGCA